rnacentral:rRNA from 1 species
CCUACGGGGGGCUGCAGUGAGGAAUAUUGGUCAAUGGGCGGGAGCCUGAACCAGCCAAGUCGCGUGAGGGAAGACGGUCCUAUGGAUUGUAAACCUCUUUAGGCGGGGAGCAAUGCCGGGCACGCGUGCCCGGAGGGAGAGUACCCGCAGAAUAAGCAUCGGCUAACUCCGUGCCAGCAGCCGCGGUAAUACGGAGGAUGCGAGCGUUAAUCGGAAUUACUGGGCGUAAAGGGUGUGCAGGCGGCUGAGUAAGACAGAUGUGAAAUCCCCGGGCUUAACCUGGGAACCGCAUAUGUGACUGCUUGGCUAGAGUGCGUCAGAGGGAGGUGGAAUUCCACGUGUAGCAGUGAAAUGCGUAGAUAUGUGGAAGAACACCGAUGGCGAAGGCAGCCUCCUGGGACGCAACUGACGCUCAUACACGAAAGCGUGGGGAGCAAACAGGAUUAGAUACCCUUGUAGUC